AUCAUCUCUCUUUCUCUAAUUCCAAUUUCUAACGAUUGAUGCGAUCAUCUCUCUUUCUCUGAAUUUGUUGUCUUGAUUCACUCAAAUAAUGGAAACCAAAGAAUCAGUCAACGCCGAUCUUGAUGAGAAGUCAUCAAAGUUCUGAUCACUUGCCCUUAUUCCUGGGAGUCUCUGUCAUAUUACACGCAAGGUCUACAAAGUCGUGUCUUGCAACUGUGCUCCAUCGA